AGAUUGUGUUUCAGAUCUUUUGCGGCUCAUCUCUGUACUUCUUUGCAAAUUCCAAUCUGGCCUUCCGAUUCUUACUGCUGGUGAGUGGUUUGCAUCUUGUGGGAUGGCCUUUAUAUUUCUGCUUUCUGAGCCGUCUUCAAACAAAGAUUUGUGAUACCGUCACCCCUGCACUGUGGAGGUCGUUGGUGAUGACACUUACUGAUGUUUUGGGGGUUUUCUUCGCAGCUCUCACAAUAUCUCUGUCAUCAACUACUGUUGUUUUCCUUAGCUGACCUGUUCGACG